rnacentral:rRNA from 1 species
CGGCACGCCUUAUACAUGCAAGUCGAACGAGAAAGCACCUUCGGGUGCGAGUACAGUGGCGGACGGGUGAGUAACGCGUAGGAAUAUGCCCAGUAUGGGGGACAACUCGGGGAAACUCGAGCUAAUACCGCAUACGCUCCUCUUCUUUGAGGAGGAGGAAAGUGGGGGAUCUUCGGACCUCACGCUAUUGGAGUAGCCUGCGUUGGAUUAGCUAGUUGGUGAGGUAAAGGCUCACCAAGGCGACGAUCUAUAGCUGGUCUGAGAGGACGAUCAGCCACACUGGAACUGAGACACGGUCCAGACUCCUACGGGAGGCAGCAGUAGGGAAUCUUGGGCAAUGGGCGCAAGCCUGACCCAGCGAUGCCGCGUGUGUGAAGAAGGCCCUAGGGUUGUAAAGCACUUUCAGCAGUGAAGAAACGCCGGGAGAUAAUACCUCCUCGGUUUUGACGUUAACUGCAGAAGAAGCACCGGCUAACUCCGUG